GGUGGAUGAGUGGCGAACGGGUGAGUAACACGUGAGUAACCUGCCCCUGACUUCGGGAUAAGCCCGGGAAACUGGGUCUAAUACCGGAUACGACUGCCGGACGCAUGUCUGGUGGUGGAAAGUUUUUUCGGUUGGGGAUGGGCUCGCGGCCUAUCAGUUUGUUGGUGAGGUAAUGGCUCACCAAGACGACGACGGGUAGCCGGCCUGAGAGGGCGACCGGCCACACUGGGACUGAGACACGGCCCAGACUCCUACGGGAGGCAGCAGUGGGGAAUAUUGCACAAUGGGGGAAACCCUGAUGCAGCGACGCAGCGUGCGGGAUGACGGCCUUCGGGUUGUAAACCGCUUUCAGCAGGGAAGAAGCGCAAGUGACGGUACCUGCAGAAGAAGUACCGGCUAACUACGUGCCAGCAGCCGCGGUAAUACGUAGGGUACGAGCGUUGUCCGGAAUUAUUGGGCGUAAAGAGCUCGUAGGUGGUUGGUCACGUCUGCUGUGGAAACGCAACGCUUAACGUUGCGCGUGCAGUGGGUACGGGCUGACUAGAGUGCAGUAGGGGAGUCUGGAAUUCCUGGUGUAGCGGUGAAAUGCGCAGAUAUCAGGAGGAACACCGGUGGCGAAGGCGGGACUCUGGGCUGUAACUGACACUGAGGAGCGAAAGC
rnacentral:rRNA from 1 species